AGAGUUUGAUCCUGGCUCAGGAUGAACGCUGGCGGCGUGCCUAACACAUGCAAGUCGAGCGAAGCACUUUGCUUUGAUUCUUUCGGGAGGAGAAGUGAUUUGACUGAGCGGCGGACGGGUGAGUAACGCGUGGGUAACCUGCCUCAUACAGGGGGAUAACAGUUAGAAAUGACUGCUAAUACCGCAUAAGCGCACAGGACCGCAUGGUCCGGUGUGAAAAACUCCGGUGGUAUGAGAUGGACCCGCGUCUGAUUAGUUAGUUGGCGGGGUAACGGCCCACCAAGGCGACGAUCAGUAGCCGGCCUGAGAGGGUGAACGGCCACAUUGGGACUGAGACACGGCCCAGACUCCUACGGGAGGCAGCAGUGGGGAAUAUUGCACAAUGGGGGGAACCCUGAUGCAGCGACGCCGCGUGAGCGACGAAGUAUUUCGGUAUGUAAAGCUCUAUCAGCAGGGAAGAAAAUGACGGUACCUGACUAAGAAGCCCCGGCUAACUACGUGCCAGCAGCCGCGGUAAUACGUAGGGGGCAAGCGUUAUCCGGAUUUACUGGGUGUAAAGGGAGCGUAGACGGCUGUGCAAGUCUGGAGUGAAAGGCAUGGGCUCAACCUGUGGACUGCUUUGGAAACUGUGCGGCUUGAGUGUCGGAGAGGCAAGUGGAAUUCCUAGUGUAGCGGUGAAAUGCGUAGAUAUUAGGAGGAACACCAGUGGCGAAGGCGGCUUGCUGGACGAUGACUGACGUUGAGGCUCGAAAGCGUGGGGAGCAAACAGAAGUAGAUACCCUGGUAGUCCACGCCGUAAAC
rnacentral:rRNA from 1 species